rnacentral:rRNA from 1 species
AUUGAACGCUGGCGGAAUGCUUUACACAUGCAAGUCGAACGGCAGCACGGGAGCAAUCCUGGUGGCGAGUGGCGAACGGGUGAAUAAAGUAUCGGAACGUGCCCAGUCGUGGGGGAUAACGUAGCGAAAGUUACGCUAAUACCGCAUACGAUCUAUGGAUGAAAGCGGGGGAUCGCAAGACCUCGCGCGAUUGGAGCGGCCGAUAUCAGAUUAGGUAGUUGGUGGGGUAAAGGCGCACCAAGCCGACGAUCUGUAGCUGGUCUGAGAGGACGACCAGCCACACUGGGACUGAGACACGGCCCAGACUCCUACGGGAGGCAGCAGUGGGGAAUUUUGGACAAUGGGCGAAAGCCUGAUCCAGCCAUGCCGCGUGCAGGAUGAAGGCCUUCGGGUUGUAAACUGCUUUUGUACGGAACGAAAAGGUUUGGCCUAAUAAGCUGAGCUCAUGACGGUACCGUAAGAAUAAGCACCGGCUAACUACGUGCCAGCAGCCGCCGUAA